AUGCCCCUCUUUGGGGGUAUCUUUAGUCCCAAGGAGAUGCCUCCUUGGACGUCUGCUUCUCUCUCCAACCUGCAUUCCUUUGAUCAGUCAACCCAGGAGGUGGAGCUGGGCCUGGACUUGGAAUUCCCACUAUGAACCUGGAAAAUGUUCAUAAAACAAAAACAAACACAAAGCCAGAAGUUUGAAAAUGGCCGGUGGAUAGCAGAGACAGGGAUUAGUGGAGGUGUGGACCGGAGGGAGGCCCAGUGCCUUCACAGGCAGAACUAGCAACUGGAGGAAGAGAACAGUCUCUUGCAGCUGAAAGUGGACAUCCUGCUGGACAUGUUUUCAGAGACCACUGCUAAAUCCCUUUUAAUGGAGAAGGAAUUGGAUGCAUGGAAGAGUGUCAGCCAGAGGAGAAAAUGA
rnacentral:lncRNA from 1 species